rnacentral:rRNA from 1 species
AAUAGAUACCCUGGUAGUCCAUGCCGUAAACGUUGGGAACUAGAUGUGGGGACCAUUCCACGGUCUCCGUGUCGCAGCUAACGCAUUAAGUUCCCCGCCUGGGGAGUACGGCCGCAAGGCUAAAACUCAAAGGAAUUGACGGGGGCCCGCACAAGCGGCGGAGCAUGCGGAUUAAUUCGAUGCAACGCGAAGAACCUUACCAAGGCUUGACAUAUACCGGAAAGGUCUGGAAACAGUCCCCCGCAAGGUCGGUAUACAGGUGGUGCAUGGUUGUCGUCAGCUCGUGUCGUGAGAUGUUGGGUUAAGUCCCGCAACGAGCGCAACCCUCGUCUUAUGUUGCCAGCGGUUCGGCCGGGGACUCAUAAGAGACUGCCGGGGUCAACUCGGAGGAAGGUGGGGAUGAGGUCAAAUCAUCAUGCCCCUUAUGUCUUGGGCUUCACGCAUGCUACAAUGGCCGGUACAAAGGGCUGCAAUACCGCGAGGUGGAGCGAAUCCCAAAAGCCGGUCUCAGUUCGGAUUGAGGUCUGCAACUCGACCCAUG